rfam:Blastomyces dermatitidis ER-3 genomic scaffold supercont1.3, whole genome shotgun sequence.
GCCGGGCUAGCUCAAUCGGUAGAGCGUGCGGCUCUUAGAUCACAUUCGUGUGACCGCAAGGCUGCGGGUUCGAUCCCCGCGUUCGGCU